rnacentral:rRNA from 1 species
GAUGAACGCUGGCGGCGUGCUUAACACAUGCAAGUCGAACGGUGAAGCAGGAGCUUGCUCUUGUGGAUCAGUGGCGAACGGGUGUGUAACACGUGAGCAACCUGCCCCUGACUCUGGGAUAAGCGCUGGAAACGGCGUCUAAUACUGGAUAUGUGAUGUGACCGCAUGGUCUGCAUCUGGAAAGAAUUUCGGUUGGGGAUGGGCUCGCGGCCUAUCAGCUUGUUGGUGAGGUCAUGGCUCACCAAGGCGUCGACGGUUAGCCGGCCUGAGAGGGUGAGCGGCCACACUGGGACUGAGACACGGCCCAGACUCCUACGGGAGGCAGCAGUGGGGAAUAUUGCACAAUGGGCGGAAGCCUGAUGCAGCAACGCCGCGUGAGGGAUGACGGCCUUCGGGUUGUAAACCUCUUUUAGCAGGGAAGAAGCGAAAGUGACGGUACCUGCAGAAAAAGCACCGGCUAACUACGUGCCAGCCGCCGCAGUAA